rnacentral:rRNA from 1 species
UACGGAGGGGGCUAGCGUUGUUCGGAAUUACUGGGCGUAAAGCGUGCGCAGGCGGUCUGUUAAGACCGAUGUGAAAUCCCCGGGCUUAACCUGGGAACUGCAUUGGUGACUGGCAGGCUUUGAGUGUGGCAGAGGGAGGUAGAAUUCCACGUGUAGCAGUGAAAUGCGUAGAGAUGUGGAGGAAUGCCGAUGGCGAAGGCAGCCUCCUGGGCCAACACUGACGCUCAUGCACGAAAGCGUGGGGAGCAAACAGG